AAUGAACGCUGGCGGCGCGCCUAAUACAUGCAAGUCGAGCGAGAAGACGUAGCAAUACGUUUGUAAAGCGGCGAACGGGUGAGGAAUACAUGGGUAACCUACCCUAGAGUGGGGAAUAACUAGCCGAAAGGUUAGCUAAUACCGCGUACGCUCCUUGGACUUCGGUUCAGGGAGGAAAGCGAUACCGUGGGUAUCGCGCUCUUGGAUGGGCUCAUGUCCUAUCAGCUUGUUGGUGAGGUAACGGCUCACCAAGGCUUCGACGGGUAGCUGGUCUGAGAGGACGAUCAGCCACACUGGCACUGCGACACGGGCCAGACUCCUACGGGAGGCAGCAGUAAGGAAUAUUGCGCAAUGGGCGAAAGCCUGACGCAGCGACGCCGCGUGGGGGAUGAAGGUCUUCGGAUUGUAAACCCCUUUCGGGAGGGAAGAUGGAACGGGUAACCCAGUUCGGACGGUACCUCCAGAAGCAGCCACGGCUAACUUCGUGCCAGCCGCCGCGGUAA
rnacentral:rRNA from 1 species